rnacentral:rRNA from 1 species
UGGGGAAUUUUGGACAAUGGGCGAAAGCCUGAUCCAGCAAUGCCGCGUGUGUGAAGAAGGCCUUCGGGUUGUAAAGCACUUUUGUCCGGAAAGAAAUCCUUGGCUCUAAUACAGUCGGGGGAUGACGGUACCGGAAGAAUAAGCACCGGCUAACUACGUGCCAGCAGCCGCGGUAAUACGUAGGGUGCAAGCGUUAAUUGGAAUUACUGGGCGUAAAGCGUGCGCAGGCGGUUUGCUAAGACCGAUGUGAAAUCCCCGGGCUCAACCUGGGAACUGCAUUGGUGACUGGCAGGCUAGAGUAUGGCAGAGGGGGGUAGAAUUCCACGUGUAGCAGUGAAAUGCGUAGAGAUGUGGAGGAAUACCGAUGGCGAAGGCAGCCCCCUGGGCCAAUACUGACGCUCAUGCACGAAAGCGUGGGGGAGCAAACAGGAUUAGAUACCCUGGUAGUCCACGCCCUAAACGAUGUCAACUAGUUGUUGGGGAUUCAUUUCCUUAGUAACGUAGCUAACGCGUGAAGUUGACCGCCUGGGGAGUACGGUCGCAAGAUUAAAACUCAAAUGAAUUGACGGGGUCAUAGCUGUUUCCU